CCUACGGGUGGCAGCAGUGAGGAAUAUUGGUCAAUGGGCGUAAGCCUGAACCAGCCAAGUCGCGUGAGGGAUGAAGGUUCUAUGGAUCGUAAACCUCUUUUAUAAGGGAAUAAAGUGUGGGACGUGUCCUGUUUUGUAUGUACCUCAUGAAUAAGGAUCGGCUAACUCCGUGCCAGCAGCCGCGGUAAUACGGAGGAUCCGAGCGUUAUCCGGAUUUAUUGGGUUUAAAGGGUGCGUAGGCGGCCUUUUAAGUCAGCGGUGAAAGUCUGUGGCUCAACCAUAGAAGUGCCGUUGAAACUGGCAGGCUUGAGUAUGUUUAAGGCAGGCGGAAUGCGUGGUGUAGCGGUGAAAUGCUUAGAUAUCACGCAGAACCCCGAUUGCGAAGGCAGUCUGCCAAGCCAUGACUGACGCUGAUGCACGAAAGCGUGGGGAUCAAACAGGAUUAGAUACCCCUGUAGUC
rnacentral:rRNA from 1 species